CUCCCCGACCACGACCCCGGUUGCCACCAGAAUGGAAGCCUCCACCUAUAAAGGAGAGGUACAACAGGAGAGAAAGAUCCUGAAUCUCCGCCCUCCCCACUCCCCACCUCAGGAAGGCCUCCUCUGUAACCCCUAGCCAAUCUUACCACCUCUUCCUCCUCCUCCACCGCCGCCGCCGCCUCCACCUCCUCCUCGUCCACGACCUCUAAAGCCUCCGCCUCGACCUCGGCCCCCGCCAAAGCCCCCUCGGCCUCCACGACCACCACGGUCACCAAAGCCCCCUCGGCCGCCAAAGCCACCCCCACGGGGACUGAAUCCUGUGGGGGAAACAAAACAGGAGUCAGGGCAAUGAAGCUUAAAAGGUUAAACCACCUUGUACCCAGCAAUACCUCUCAGGUGAGAAACCUGAAAUACAUGUGCCCGUGUACAGCAGGACACAUUUCCAAGAAUGUCCACAGCAAAAGAAAAGUGAAGACUAACCCAAAUGUCCAUCAAUAGAAUGGGC
rnacentral:lncRNA from 10 species